AUUGAACGCUGGCGGCAGGCCUAACACAUGCAAGUCGAGCGGAUGAAGGGAGCUUGCUCCUGGAUUCAGCGGCGGACGGGUGAGUAAUGCCUAGGAAUCUGCCUGGUAGUGGGGGAUAACGUCCGGAAACGGGCGCUAAUACCGCAUACGUCCUGAGGGAGAAAGUGGGGGAUCUUCGGACCUCACGCUAUCAGAUGAGCCUAGGUCGGAUUAGCUAGUUGGUGGGGUAAAGGCCUACCAAGGCGACGAUCCGUAACUGGCCUGAGAGGAUGAUCAGUCACACUGGAACUGAGACACGGUCCAGACUCCUACGGGAGGCAGCAGUGGGGAAUAUUGGACAAUGGGCGAAAGCCUAAUCCAGCCAUGCCGCGUGUGUGAAGAAGGUCUUCGGAUUGUAAAGCACUUUAAGUUGGGAGGAAGGGCAGUAAGUUAAUACCUUGCUGUUUUGACGUUACCAACAGAAUAAGCACCGGCUAACUUCGUG
rnacentral:rRNA from 1 species